UCCUCUUGCCUCAGCCUCCCAAGCUGCUGGAAUUACAGGCAUUCACCAUACGCCCCAUCCUUUUGCUUUAAAUGCUUGACAUCCCUCCCUGAGGAUGAGUAACCUCAGAAUUAGUACAGGUGGAUCUCUAUGUAAAGAAAAUAAUCUGAGUUAAUAUUAUGGGGGAAAUUUGAGGUAUUCUGUUUUCAGAUUAAGAAAAUACCAAGGUUUCUGGGAUCAUAAAAUUCAAAA
rnacentral:lncRNA from 1 species